CCGGGACCCCAGGUCAGGCGGGACUACC
rnacentral:rRNA from 1 species